rnacentral:rRNA from 1 species
AAUCAACGCUGGCGGCGUGCCUAACACAUGCAAGUCGCACGAGAAAGGGAGCAAUCCCUGAGUAAAGUGGCGCACGGGUGAGUAACACGUGAAUCAUCUACCUCCGAGUGGGGAAUAAACUGAGAGAAAUCUUAGCUAAUACCGCAUAACACUUACGAGUCAAAGCUAGCAAUGCGCUUGGAGAGGAGUUCGCGGCCGAUUAGUUAGUUGGCGGGGUAA